rnacentral:rRNA from 1 species
GGAUAAUCUGCCCUCAGGUGAGGAAUAAUCCCGGGAAACUGGGGCUAAUGCCUCAUAGGAGACGGGUGCUGGAAUGCUCUGUCUCCGAAAGGUCCGCCGCCUGAGGAUGAGUCUGCGUCCGAUUAGGUUGCUGUUGGGGUAACGGCCCAACAAGCCUUUGAUCGGUACGGGUUGUGGGAGCAAGAGCCCGGAGAUGGAUUCUGAGACAUGAAUCCAGGCCCUACGGGGCGCAGCAGGCGCGAAAACUUUACAAUGCGAGCAAUCGUGAUAAGGAAACCCUGAGUGCCUGUCAAUGCAGGCUGUUCUGGUGUCUAACACACACCAGGAGAAAGGGCGGGGCAAGACCGGUGCCAGCCGCCGCGGUAAUACCGGCUGCUCGAGUGAUAGCCACUUUUACUGGGCUUAAAGCGUUCGUAGCUUGGUCGUUAAGUCUCUGGGGAAAUCUUUUGGCUCAACCAAAAGGCGUCUCAGGGAAACUGACGAUCUUGGAACCGGGAGAGGUAAGACGUGCUUCGGGGGUAGGAGUGAAAUCUUGUAAUCCCCGAGGGACGACCGAUGGCGAAGGCAUCUUACCAGAACGGCUUCGACAGUGAGGGACGAAAGCUGGGGGAGCAAACCGGAUUAGAUACCCGGGUAGUCCCAGCCGUAAACGAUGUGCGUUAGGUGUGUCAGUGACCACGAGUCGCUGAGGUGCCGAAGGGAAACCGUGAAACGCACCGCCUGGGAAGUACGGUCGCAAGGCUGAAACU